rnacentral:rRNA from 1 species
UACGUAGGGUGCGAGCGUUUAAUCGGAAUUACUGGGCGUAAAGCGUGCGCCAGGCGGUUCGUUAUGUCCGUUGUGAAAGCCCCGGGCUCAACCUGGGAAUGGCAAUGGAAACUGGAAGACUUGAGUGUAGGAGAGGAAAGUGGAAUUCCACGUGUAGCGGUGAAAUGCGUAGAGAUGUGGAGGAACACCAGUGGCGAAGGCGACUUUCUGGCCUAUAACUGACGCUGAGGCGCGAAAGCGUGGGGAGCAAACAGG